AUCAGCAGUCAUACCACUUGCAGUUCAGAGUAGGUAGUACAUCUGAAGUUAAGUAGGUUUGGCCCUGGCUAGUACUUGGAGAGGAGACCAGCUCAGAAAGCUGGCUGCUGCUGGGA
rnacentral:rRNA from 1 species